GACUGAUUACUCACCUCUCAGACUCGCUCAAAGUUGUUGACUCCUCUGUUGAAUAUCAUUUGGCAUUUCCUCCUCUGUUCUCCCUCUCAGAUUCAAAAUCAUUCAUUCAAAAAGAGCUGGUGAAGUUAAAAACCAAGAAUGUUAAAGUUUUUGUGGUGUUACAGUGUUCUUUAGACUUUGGCUUAGUUCUUUUUGAGAUGGCGAAUGAAAUGGGAAUGAUGGGGGAAAAUUAUGUAUGGAUUAUUUCAAACAAUAUGGCAAGUCUUCUGGACUCUGUUGAACCCUCUGUUUUACUGAACAUGCAAGGUGUAAUUGGGUUUAAGGCAAAUGUUAAUGAAAAAACUGAGUGUUUUAGAGAGUUCAAUGCUAAGUUCAGGAAAAAGUACAGAUCACAAUAUCCUGAAGAAGAAGGAUAUCCAAGUCCUAGCUCAUAUGCACUCAAGGCUUAUGAUGCAACUUGGGCAACUGCUAAGGCCAUGCAAAAGUUAUCCGGAAGCAAUUCAAGUGAACUAGUGAAAAGCAUUUUGUUGAGUGAUUUUGAAGGUUUAAGUGGAAAAGUUAGCUUCAAGAAUGGCAUGUUAUAUCAAAAACCAACCUUUAGGAUCAUAAAUGUGAUUGGCAAAAGCUACAGAGAAGUGUCAUUUUGGUCACCAAAGUUUGGUUUUUCUGAGGUUCUUGGUGAACACAAUGGGGUGAAGUUGAAAAUUGGCAACGGUUUAGGAGGGGCUCUGGGGUCAAUUGUGUGGCCUGGUGGUACGCAAACUGUCCCAAAAGGGUGGACAAUAGGUGGCCUAGAAAAACCACUUAGGAUUGGGGUACCUGCAAGGGGUGCAUUUACUCAGUUUGUGAAAGUUAAAUUUAACCAAGAGACGAAUGAGACUCUGAUUGGUGGAUUUUCAGUUCAUGUUUUUCAAGCAGUAGUGAGGGAACUUCCCUAUUAUCUGCCCUACAAUCUUGUUCCCUUCUAUGGUACUUAUGAUGAAAUGGUGGUAGGAGUUUCUAACAAGGUAAGCAUGACUCUUUAACUUAGCAUUUCCUAAUGAACUCUGGUCUAAUUUUUCAGAUUUUGGAAGAAGGUUCAAAUCUAUGUUUUAUUAUACAAAAUAUUUUAAUUUUACUCUGUUUUACUUUGGUGUCAUUAACAAAUUGUAAUUGUGGUUGACUUUAAGGAUCUCCAACGUGAACUGGGUGGAUUCCACGUGUCAAAAUAUUUCAAGAAAAUUGUCGAUUAUUUAUUCUCACUCCUGGAUUUCACAAGAGCUUUUGGGCUGGUGGUAGACAUUUUGAGUUUUCCAGAGGAGGAGCACUUGGUUACCUUCCGUAGUACAGUGACUACGCAGAUAGAAUAUCUGCUCCUUAGGAAGGGUGAUAAAGGUGUUUGUAAGGAUUGUAAGGUUAUCCUGAGUGAGGAUCUUAUGACCCAACAUAAACUCAAGAUGAUGGAUUUGGAGAUCAAGAGGGAGAGGAAGAAGAGGGUCAUGGAUGAUCAGUUAAGAAUCAAAUGGGGUAGCUUGACUAUGGCCAGUGCCCUAGAGGUGGUAGAGAAGUUGAUGACUACGAGGGCUUUGGGGAAUAGUGGGGAUGCAACCAGUAUGUGAAUAGGAUCGCUAGUUGCAUUAGGGAAGCGGCUAGAGAUGCGCGGGGGUCUCAAGAGGCCGAUUUGGUGGGUAUCGAGAGGACUAGUGGUGGAAUGGAGAAAUCCAAGAGAAUGUAGAUGUAAAGAAGGCGGCGUACGCAUAAUGGGUGGAAAGUAAAGACAAGGAGGAAAAGUCGACGAAUAGGGAAAGAUAUAAAAUGGCGAGGAAGGAGGCAAAGUUAAUUGUCACAAGGGGAAAACGACAACUUUAGAACGCAUGUAUGUUGGAUUAGAGGACAAGAGUAGGGUUAAGAGGUUGUACAGGUUAUCCAAGGCGAGAGAGAGGAGGGUCCAUGACCUAGACCAAGUAAAGUGCAUCGAGGUUGAGGAAAACAAAGUACUGGUAGAGGAGGCACUCAUUAGACGGAUAUGACAGUCAUACUUCUAUAAACUCUUGAACGAAGAAGAGGAGAGAGACAUUGUGUUGUAACAGUUGGAGCACCUAAAGAAGUGUCACGAUUAAGGGUAUUGUUAGUGUAUAAAGGUUGAAGAGGUUAAGAGUGUUAUUCUUAGGAUGUGUAGGGAUAGAACGACCAUGCUAGAUGAGAUUCCGAUGGAAUUUUGGAAGAGCUCAGACUGGGUAGGCAUGGAGUGGUUAACUAAGUUGUUAAAUGUUGUUUUCAAGAUGGCAAAGAUGCCUGAAGAAUGAAGAUAGAGUACAAUGAUUCUGUUGUACAAGAACAAGGGUGACGUUCAAAGUUGUAACAACCAUAUGAUAUCAAGUUGUGGUAAAGAAAGGGUUAGGAAGGGUGUGGCAAUUUUCGAGAACCACAUCGAAUUAAUAUCGGGGAGCUCAACUAUAAAAGUCAUUCAUCUCGUAAGGAGAUUGGUGGAACAACAUAGAGUAAGGAAUGACUUAUAUAUUGUGUUCAUCGACUUAGAAAAAGCUUACGACAAAGACCUAAGGAAGGUUCAAUGGAGUUGCUUAGACUGUGGGAGGUGACCUAGAACACUUCCCAAUUUUGAUGGGGUUAUACUGGGGAUCAACCCUUAGCCCAUCUUUGUUUGUCUUGAUAAUUGAUAUAUUAACACGAAAAAUUCAAGGUGAGAUGCCAUGUUGUAGUUACUUGUGGAUUAGAUAGUUCUAAGUUGGAGCAUUGGAGAAUCUAAAGGAUUCAGGUUGAGCAGAACCACAACAGAGUACUUAGGGUGCAAAUUUAGUGAUAUAACGUAUGAGGCUGAUGUGAAAGUAAGACUUUAUACAUAGGUUGUCCAAAAGAGAGGAAGUUUCAAGUAUCCUAGGUUUAUUAUCCAAGGAAAUGAAGAUACUGGCGAAUUUGUCACACACCGUAGUAGUGUAAGGUGGAUAAAUUGGAGGCUUGUAUCUAAAGUCUUUGUUGAUAAGAAGGUGUCAUCAAAAUUUAAAGGCAACCUCUACAGAGCAGUAGUUAGAUCAACUAUGUCGUAUGGGCGAAGUUGUUGGCCAAUCAAGAACUCCAACAUUCGGAAGAUGAAAGUUGUAGAAAUUAGGAUGUUGCGAUGGAUGUGUAGAUAUACCAGGAGAGAUAAGAUUAGAAAUGAGGAUAUUCAAAACAAGGUAAGAGUGACUUCGAUAGAGGACAAGAUAUGGGAAACAAUGCUGAAAUAGUUUGGGUAUGUGAAAAAGAGAUGCAUGGAUGCCCCAGUGCAAAGGUGCAAGAAGUUGGCUACAUAUGGUUCUAUGAGAGGUAGAGGUAAACCUAAGAAGUAUUGGGGAGAGGUGAUUAGACAUGACAUGGGUAGUUUCAACUUACCAAGGACAUGACCUUAAAUAAGAAAGUGUGGAGGUCAGGGAUUAGGGUAGAAGGGUAGUAAGCAUCAAUGCAUUGUCUUAUUGUCCGUUCAUAUUAGUAGUCGUAGUAUUGCACAUUUAGUUUCUUGUCCUUUAAUAUAUUUUACUAUCUGUUGAUUUCUUAUACCUUGACUAUCGUAUGGUUUUGUUGAAGUUUUGUUAGUAUCUAUUGUUUGUGUUAAUAACUGAUUUCUUGUACCUUGACUAUCGUAUUAUAUGGUUUUCUUGAAGUCUUGAACUUCCGCCACUUCUUUUUAUGGACUGCUUACACUGUUUUUCCUUGAGCCGAGGGUCUAUGUCGGAAACAACCUCUAUACCUUUAGGGUAGGGAGGGAUAAGGUCUACCUACACUCUAUCCUCUCUAGGCCCCACGUUGUGGGACUACAUUAGGUAUGUUGUUGUUGUACUUUUGACUAUGGUUUACAACUACCAUCUAUUAUACUUCAAGUUGGAGAUACGUUAGGGUCAAGGAUAAUCGAUAGGGGUGGAUCUAAUGUUAUGGUACCAGGUUCAUCUGAACUCGUUCUUUCAAUACAAAGCAUAAAAUCAUGUGUAAAAAUUUACUAAAAUUGCAACAAAUAGUAGAUAUGAACCUGUAACUUUAAAAAUAUAAUGGGAACUACGGAUAACUUCAAAGUAUAAUGAAAGGCAAAAUUAAGAAAUUUCGUACAACAGAGUACUUUUUGACCCUUUUGCCUUAAGAUUUUCAUCAUUAUCAAUCAGUGAAGUCUGCUGCUUAGAGCUCAUUAUUGUUAGUUACAUCUGCAAAUACUUUUACCGAUACUUACUAGUUCAUGAAAUAGAAUCUGGAUGCAGCGGUAGGUGAUACCUCUAUAUUGGCUGAACGCUAUGAGUAUGCAGAAUUUUCACAGCCCUAUAUUGACUCUGGACUUGUCAUGAUAGUGACCGAAAGGCCAAGACUCAACAAGGUCCAAUUUAUUGCUAUAAAGGCCUUCAAGUUGAAGUUGUGGAUUCUGCUAGCAGUGAUGAGCAUGUCCACAGGGGUUGUCAUCUGGUUAAAUGAGUAUGUAAAUGACAACCCGGAUUUCAGUGGUUCUUUCCCUCAGCUUAUUGGAUCCAUGCUUUGGUUCUCUGUCACUGUUCUCUCUUUUUCACAAAGUAAGUUUCAAACUUAGAAAUACAUUAUACUUCUCCUUUCCACCUUCUUUGACACUAUUUCCUCAUUAUUUCACACAAAAAUCAACGUCACAUUUCAAUAUUUCCUUAAAGAGAAUCUUUUAUAGAACAUGAGUGUGAUGACAUGUUUAAAGCCACAAGGUUUAAGAGUUUUUAUUUCUUUUCUUAAACUAUAUGCGGAGUCGAACUAUGUCAAAAAAAAAUGGAACAAAAGGAGUAUAGAAUAAGAAUAAGGAUUAAAAAAUUACUCUUUUACUAUACGAGAUAUCUUAAUUUUACACUUUCCGAUACUCUUAUUGUUAGCAAAUCGUCUAGUAUUUGUCCUUGAACCUUAAUGGAACUUCAUCUGAAGUAUAACAGAUGGUAAUGUACUAAUGUUAAAUCAUAGUCAAAAGUAUUUGAGUAAAUUCUGAACGUUUUCCUGAAAUAUUUUGACACAUGGAUUCCUUCCUAAUCCAUGUGGAAUUUCCUUAAAGUCGAGGGCAAAUCCGAGAGGAUGUGCCAACGGUACAGAUAUAAUGAUCAAAAAUAUAACGAAGGGUAAAAUCAAACAUAUUUUGUAUAAUAGAGAGAUAAGUUUGGACUUUUCCCUUUAGAAUAAAGAUAUAUACAGAACUACUGUUUACAAUUUAAAAGCUUAUAGUUCCAAUUUGGGAUAUCAUUACAGGAGAAUCAAUCAAAAGCAAUCUAUCUCGACUUGUGCUGACUACAUGGUUAUGUGUAGUUGUGGUUGUUACAGCUUGCUUUACUGCAACUCUUUCCUCCAUCAUGACAGUUCCUAGGCUGGAACCUUCUGUACUAAAUGUGGAUUAUCUUCUAAGGACCAAUGCUCCAGUUGGUUGCAAUGGCAAUUCAUUUAUAGUCAAAUAUCUAGUAAAUUUGCAAUUCAAGCCAGAGAACAUCAAGAAGAUCAGUUCAAUCAGUGACUACCCUAAAGCUUUUGAGAAGGGAGAAAUUUCUGCUGCUUUCGUUGUAGCUCCACAUGCCAAAGUUUUCCUUGCCAAGUACUGCAGAGGUUACACCAAAUCAGGACCUGUCUUUAAACUUGGUGGUUUUGGUUUUGUAAGAUCAAGAAUUCAUCUUUUUAACUUUUCAAUCUGCCUAUCUCCAUCUUCACAGAUUAAUUUCACAUAUGCUCACUGAACUUUGCUCAGUAUAACAGUAAAUUUACAACUUUUGUCAUUUUAUGAACUUUACCUACUAUAACAACAAAGUCAUUAAUCAAUUUUCUGUCACGGAGUAACAAAACUUCACCCACUAUAACAUUGAAGUCAUUGAACUUUACAGAAAGUCCCUAGACGGAUAGAUUUUAAAGUUUCAAUGGAUAAUGUUUAGUAAUUAUAAUGUUAUAGUGGGUUGAAUUCAGUUACUAUAAUUUGACAAAGAAAAUUUAGCGUCUUUACAAUUAUAAUAGCUAAGAUUUAGUGAUUUUACUGUUAUAGUUACUUAAUUAUGACAAAUUAUAAUUUAGUUACUUAAUUACAAUGGACAAAGGUGAGUGACCAUAAGCAACAUUAACCAUUUUGUCAGCCUAAAUUUUUAAACUAGUUUCUUUAUGACAAUUUGAUGUUUUAAUCUAUCAGGUUUUUCCAAAGGGUUCUCCUUUAGCAGUUGAUAUCUCCGAAGCUGUUCUUAAACUCUCACAGAGUGGAGAGAUAAAUCAACUAGAAGAACAAAUGCUUAUUUCAACAAAUUGCUCUUCUUCAUCAGCUGAGGAGCAGCUUUUUGGAUUAGGACAAGAGUUGUUCUCUGGUCCAGUACUGAUUUCAGGUAUUAUAUGUGGAAUUGUAUUUUUGAUCUCAAUCGCUCGUUUAGUCAGAAAACACUGGCUAUAUUUAAGCUCUAUAAUUGCAAAUAGUGCAAAUAUAGUUCUUAGAUGGACUUCUCUAGUUAAAAAUUGCAACACUGUGAUUGACCAAAGACCAAAUAUUCAACAGAAUGUUGAAAUUACAGAGGUUGUUUGAUGAACCAGAAACUGGAAAAUCAUGGACAGCAAUUGAUCAGCAGCUACUUUUCUCUUGUCUAAUAAACAAUCUAAUGCUCUUUGUAAAUAUAUUAUUUUCUUCCUUAUACGUAAUUUCUGUAUCAUUCACAUGUACUGUAUAAUCCUAUUUUAGAAAUAAACGCACACACAUAGAGCAAUACAUAUAUAAAUCAGUAAACAAGUCUAACAUUAAGCAGAUUCUGAAAGAGAAGCAAAAUUGAGACCUUACUUUCCAGAAUGAAGAAUCAAACUCGGGUCCUCCUAAUCGACCCAACCCUCUCCAUCUCCAACUUCAUCACCGGACUCCUCCUCACCGGCUGAUAACGUCUCCAACUCCGGCGAAAUCACCGACUGCUUUACCAUUUGCGGAAGAAGAUUAGUAUAAAGAAGUAAGCUGUGGGCUAAUGAAUUAAGGGUGACAAAAGAGUUUCAAAAUAAAGAAAAAGUGACACAAGUUUUAAUUAUUGAGUAUACGUGACAAUUUUAAGAUCGAAAAAGGGUCAUAUUUGCCCUUGUACUCUCAGAAAAGGGUUAUAUUUGCCCUUUGUUAUACUUUUUUGAUAUAUUUGCCCUUGCCAUCCAACUUAAGGUACAUAUUUGCCCUUCAACCGUUAAGUUUCAUAUCUCAAAUUUUAUCAUCCUAUGUGGC
rnacentral:lncRNA from 1 species